rnacentral:pre_miRNA from 19 species
GCCUUCCAGCUAAGGUGCACCUAGUGUAGCUAGUGAAGAAGUUCAGGAUCUACUGCCCUAGUUGCUCCUUUUAGCUGGAGGG